CCGGGUGGACCUCAAGCAUGGAGUCAAUUUCGACGCCAGUGGAGGGUAACAAGGGAUUGAAUAUCAGAGUUAAUAAUUAAGAUCGGAAAAGAUAGACGGUGACUUUACCAUGUUUCACUGGAGACUCGUCGACGACCGACAUCUUUUCAAAGGGAACGUACGAGGGCCUCUGUUUAGUCUGGUUUUUGGGUUUUCCGUCGCUUGCGUCGUAUAUAAAGAGUAAGGUGCACACUAGGACUUCACAACUACAGUUAGCAAAAGGUAGGUGCAAAGACAGUAAGGUUGGUACUUCUUGAUCUUGGUUCCAGUUUUCCAACCCUAACUUACGCCCUAUACAUAAGGACG
rnacentral:lncRNA from 1 species